rnacentral:rRNA from 1 species
UUGACUCCUCAGCAUGUGUACUGCCGUUGUAAGCAUACCCCUAAAAGAAUAAGUAUGCCACCAUGACUACUAAAUCCAUAUACAUCAGGUCAAAGUGCAGCCUAUGAGAGGGUGAUGAUGGGUUACAACCCCAAACCAGAAAUGAAUUAAGAAAUAAAAAACCUUAUGAAAGUGGACUUGGCCGUAAUCAAUUUACAAGUUAAAAAAAUGAACACUAUCUAAGACAUGCACACAUCGCCCGUCACUCCACCCUAAAGGGUAGAUAAGUCGUAACAAAGUAGGUGUAAUGGAAAUUGCCCCUGUCGAAGUAUAGCAUAUAUAAUGCUUUUUACUUACACUAAAAACAAAGUUAAACAACUUACUUCGCCCAAACACAUAAAUCUUUCUAACCCAGAAUCAUAAAAACACCUAAACAAAUAAAUUAGUAAAACAAAGUACAGAAAUGGAAAUUAAUAAUAAAGAAAAGUAAAUAUUAACAACUAUACCUUGUGCAUUAUGGUUUUACAAGAAAUUAAUUAAAUACAAAAAUCCCGAAUUCUAAGUGAGAUGUCAAACUACUGUCAAGAACCCACUAAUAGCUGUAGAAAAAGCUUUAAAAGAUAGUUUGACAGAGGCUACAUACCAUACGCAUAAGAAUAUAGCUGGUUUUCAACAAAUAUUAUACAUUAAAACAUAUAAUUAUAUUAUAGUGUAAUAUCACUGAGGACAAGCCCAGUGAUCCUAGCAAUAUCAAAUCCAAAUAAAUGACCAACAUAGGCCUAAAAUCAGCCAACCAAAAUACUUUACCGUAACACAAGACGAAACAAUAAAUACUACACCAUGCCAAAUAAAGUUGAAAUAGUAGACCAACAAAUAUGCCUGCCCUUACUAUGUAAAAAUAAGUAUUAUAAAUUAUGAUAGAAAAAAUCAAAAAUAAACAAAAUACAAACCAACAAUAAUUAAUUAAGGAACUCGGCAAAUCAUGUAUUUCGACUGUUUAACAAAAACAUUGUCUCAUGAACAAAAUAUGAGAUAGCUCCUGCCC